GCGGAGCGUCUGUCUGUUUGAGUGGGAGACGAUUCCAUUCUGAAAUUCUCCAAUAUAAUGGUAAGGAUGAGGGAGGCUGUCUCUUUCCUUCUUUCCCCUCCUCUCUUCCUUCUCACCGCACCGCCGCCGCUUCCCCCAAUCAUCCCGGGCUCCCGGCGCUGCCCUCGCCUUGGCAUGCUGGAGAUUCAGGUGGGGAGCGAGCCAUCUUCCACGAGGCGACCUAGGGGGCGUCUCUUCCCUCUCGCUCAGCAAGUGCCUCUCGCGUGAUAGAUGCGGCUCGACGGCGAGAAAGACAGCCGGAGUGGCGGCCACGGGCUGCUGCUCUUCUCCGUUAAGGCACCGCGGCGGGACAGGGACGACGUUCGACACCCACAUCGGAAGACCUGCUCGCAAUUUCUAGUGUCGGGCUGCGGAACUAGACGAACCUCGGCCGAUGCCAAGGAGAGUUGCCUGUGAUGAUUUAUAAGAAGGGAAAUAGUACAAGGAGAGGCCAGAGGUCAACACCUAGAGAUGUCAAAUUACAGACCUGACAUGAACGAAAAAUAAGUCAACCUUGACCACACACACCCUAUUCUAAGAACCAGGGAUAAGCUACCUGAUGUGUAGCUCGUGGAGGGCUGAAGCACCAGCCAAACACCACAAGCCACUCUCAUAAGCAAUUGCCUGUAACACAACCGGAAAUCCAGAAUACAAGGCCUAGUGCCUUCAAGGACACAUGCAUUGCCGGUUUCUGCACUUUGAGUCAGCGGGCUCCGGUGACGCAAGAACAGCGCCAGCAAGACUUGCAGCUGAGAGGUAUGGCUAAAUCCUUCGUGCUGGCAGCAAUCACAGCGGUCAGUGCGAUCAAGCUAGGGCCAGGGAAGAACAUGUCCACGAGCACACCACUGAAAUUUGGCCAGGAGGGAGAGGGUUCCAACAACAACAAAACCCCUCUCCCCUCGGACCAAUUCAACAUGCUGCAGAUAUGGUGGCCGGCCGUGGGUUCGGGCUGGUUCCGACGUACGGCGGCUUGGUCAUGGCUACUGCCCCUGCUGCAACCCUGGCAGAUCCUAUGAACCAAGGUGCAAGUGCAGUUGCCCAGGCGUCGAACGUGGACGUGGUACUGAAACCUGCUGCUGCUGUACCUACCACAACUUUGACAGCGGCAGUGGGUUCAGAAACAGGCGCGCCUGCUGUUGGUCGCAUAACUGAAGCGAGCACUAUGCUCCCGGUAGCAAAUUCAGCAAUGUUGGUAGUGGUGGGGAACAAGCAGAUGGAUGGGAUCUACAUCGACAAAGGCCCUGCGACGCACCUUUUUGUCGCAGGUUCCGACUGCAAGACAGAAGAGGCAGUCAAGAUAUCUGGAAAGAAUAUGAAGAAAAAGGGUACAGAGCAGGGUGUGGUCAACAUUGUAUCAGUUCUGGGCAAGAGAGGGGACAGGGUACAGGAAGGGGUACAUGAGUCACUUCUGAAGGGGGAGGUAUGUAACUAGAGGUUGUUAGUAAGAAGAAGAGUACUAGUCCAGAGGGAGGAGAGAGGAGCAACGAGCUGUUGGAGACCUGACGGUCGCUGAUGAUGACGGCCGUCAGGAGUAAAAUACUCAGCUGGAACUGCCGGGUUUAGGCCAACCCUGGACAGUUCAGGAAUUGGCGUGCCUUGUGAGCACACACCGUCCCUCGACCGUCUUCGUCUCUGAAACUAGGCAGAAUAAGGAUAUAGUUAAAAACCUUAGAUGGAGGCUUGGCCUCAAGAACUGCUUGCUGCAUAACGGCAAGGGCAAAGUUGCCGGUAUCGCCUUGUACUGGGAUGACUCAGUUGAAAUAAUGAAAUUAUCAAUUGGCCCGAGGUAUAUUAAUGUUCUUGUGCGAAAUAAUCCUUGUGAUGAUUGGUGGAGGGGUACCUUGGUGUAUGGAGAACCGAAAGCCCAUGAAAGACACCACAUGUGGGAUUUGCUUGCAAGAAUAAAACCGAACGCAUGGGAGCCAUGGUUUAUGAUUGGCGAUUUCAAUGAAACAAUGUGGCAAAGCGAACACUUUUCUUCAGCCAAGAGAUCUGAAAACAAUAUGGCUAAUUUCCUUGACAUUCUCUGGGCGUGUGACUUGCAUGGUUUAGGUUUCCGCGGACCGAGUUGGACUUAUGAUAAUAAACAAUCUGGGAGCAACAAAGUAAGAGACAGAAUUGACCGAGGGGUAGCUUCUCCAGAAUGGAGCAAACGGCUUCCCAACGCUAGCAUCCAACAUGUAGUCUCAACUAGAUCAGAUCAUUUCUCACUCUUGCUGCAACUUGGUAAACAUACUGUAUACAGAAGGAAGAAAAUAUUCAGAUAUGAAGUUAUGUGGGAGAGAGGAAUCCCUUGCGGCCACGGUGAACAAUGGCUGGAAUCAGGCGGACAAGGCCACGACGUUGGAACCAGUACAGGCCAAGCUGGGCGCCAUGCAACGCAACCUCAGUAGGUGGAGCGCUUCGUGUUUCGGUUCGGUCAAUCGCCGGAUCAAGGAUCUCCGAAAGAAAUUAGAGCAGUUGAUGGGGGCGCCGCAAACUGCAGAAAAUGAUAGAAAGAUAUAGAUGAGGUACUUCUUCGGGCCGAGAUAAUGUUGCGGCAACGUUCGAGAGCCACAUAUCUAAGAGAGGGAGAUAGGAAUACAGAGUGGUUUCACCAGCAAGCAACAUGGAGGAAGAAACACAACACAAUUUGCAAACUGAAGAAUGAAGAAGGAAAGUGGAUUGAGAAGAGAGAGGACUUACACAAGAUGGGGAAGAAAGAGUCCACAACUAGGAUCUAGCGGGUGGGCAAGGUUGCCUUGGUGAAACUCUUGACGACAAAGUCGUUGCAGCACAUCCGCGAUAAGGAUGAGAAGGUAUGGUAACAUAGGAUCACCUUGUCGGUUGUCGCAGUCCGCUUCUACACUAAAGGACAUCCCCAAGCUGGCCGUUGAUUAACACACGAGAUGUGCUAGUGCAGAGUAAUUCUUUAAUCCAAUCUAUCCAUCUUUUUCCAAAGCCUCUCGCUUCCAGAAUUUUUUGGUGGCAUGGUUUCUCAAGGAAAACUCUAAAGCAGAAAGCCUCCUCCUCUCCUCAACGGCAUUGAGAUAAUCCAUAACAUGUUUGUUAUUGCUGGGACGUGUUUGUAGUGGUUUCAUAGUCCGAGUCCACUUUGUGAUUGCAGCCCGCAUGCGCCUCAUUUUAAAACUAAUGCAUGUUCAUUUAGAAGCCAGCGGCCUGUGACCCCUAUUCCAGCAGUCCCAGAUGAUAUGCUUUACUUCUUCCGUCUGGAGCUAAUGAUUCUCAAAACGAUAUAAAUUACAGCGAGGUAACUCCUUGUUAAAAUCCACAGCAAUAGGAGUGUGACCUGAAGUUGUGGCCUGAAUAGCAUGAGCUGUUGUCUGAAAGAAAUCCAGAUUCCAUGUAAUUCACCGGGACCCUAUCCAGCUUGAUUAAGGUAGGAUGUUGCCUUUUAUUCGGCCAUGUGAAGCUCCUGUUUGUUACUGAUGUCAAUGUCCAUAUCCUGUUCUCUAAUCCAUUCAUUAAAAGCUUCCAUGACAGACCAAUUGACUCUUCCCCUUGAUUUUUCAUUUGCAAAUCUGUACAUAUUGAAGUCUUCAAGAAUAAUCCGUGGGCCAUCAACCAUAGCUUCAGCUUGUUCCAUGACAUGGAAGAACUCAUCUUUGUCCUCCACAUACAUUGCAUGGUGCAUAAACAGUGGUGAGGUAAGCAGUAACAUUGCUUGUGGCAGAGCACAUCUUGAUUGAGAUGAAGAAGUGGUGCUUUGCUAGCUCUCUGCAAGACACAGUGGACCGAUCCCAGGCGACCAUGAUGCUCCCUGCCGAUGCCGACCCAGUUGCAGGCAUAGUAACAUAAGAUAUCUGUACCUACAAAGUACAUCUCUACAAAUAAUUCACUCAUUUCAAAUGAUACUUCAAUCUGCAUGUUGUUUGCAAAGCUCUAUUUUUAAUUUAUCAAGCUUUACUAUGCUUUAAAUUAUACCAGUACUAUAUUUGAUGUGUGUCCAAGUUACCAGCUAUGGUAUUCAUCUUCUUUCUCCUUUUUUUGGUGGGUUUUAUUUUGAUGAGCAGAAACAGCCACCCUACCAUGUACUCAGGAAAGGAACAUGCUUGGUUCUUCUAUCUAUAUUGUUUCUGUAGCUUAUAUACUUCAGGUUUUCACUAUUAUAGUGUUGUGUCCCUUCCGAGAAAGCCAUGGAAACCAUGGUGUGCUUCGUGCACUGCUACCUUAGUAGUUGGCCUUCAAAAAGGGACCAAGAUAUAUGUUCAUCGUAAUUAAGCUAAUAUUUUCUGAUUCUCUUUUGUUCCAUUUUCAGUCCAUAAACUGCAUUUCCAGUGGGAGAGGGAGGUAUAAGUGCGAGAGGUACCCGUCCAUCCAACGUCCUCUGUGUUGUUUGCUCUGUCUGUGCGCCUGUGCGCAAUUUGUGGCUGCCGCUUCGUUGCCAUUUUCCCUUAUUUUUUUACCUGAGAGAUAAAUAAGGAAGCAAGGAGAGGCUAAUUAACUGGUGGGACAGUCAGGUAACUGAAGUAUAGUAGAGCCUCUUCAGUAAGAGAACAUAUAGGGAUUCUCCUUUUUUUUUAUAGCCUGCACUAGAGGCUGUAGAGUUAAGUUUGUACAUUUUGCGAAAUUGUAUUGUUCCAGCUUCUCUUAUUAUACACUUUAACUGUCAGGUUAUUUACUAUGUGC
rnacentral:rRNA from 1 species